UACGUAGGGGGCAAGCGUUGUCCGGAUUUAUUGGGCGUAAAGCGCGCGUAGGCGGCGCGGUAUGUCGUGCGUGAAAUCUCCCGGCUUAACUGGGAGGGGCCGUGCGAAACUGCCGGGCUUGAGGUCGGAAGGGGAACGUGGAAUUCCGGGUGUAGUGGUGGAAUACGUAGAUAUCCGGAGGAACACCAGCGGCGAAGGCGGCUUUCUGGUCCGAUACUGACGCUGAGGUGCGAAAGCGUGGGGAGCGAUCCGG
rnacentral:rRNA from 1 species